UACAGAGGGGGCAAGCGUUGUUCGGAAUUACUGGGCGUAAAGGGCGCGUAGGCGGCCUUCUAAGUCGAACGUGAAAUCCCCGGGCUCAACCCGGGAACUGCGUCCGAUACUGGAAGGCUUGAAUCCGGGAGAGGGAUGCGGAAUUCCAGGUGUAGCGGUGAAAUGCGUAGAUAUCUGGAGGAAUACCGGUGGCGAAGGCGGCAUCCUGGACCGAUAUUGACACUGAUGAGCGAAAGCCAGGGGAGCAAACGGG
rnacentral:rRNA from 1 species